rnacentral:rRNA from 1 species
UACGUAGGGAGCGAGCGUUGUCCGGAAUCAUUGGGCGUAAAGAGCUCGUAGGCGGCUUGUCACGUCGGAUGUGAAAGCCCGGGGCUUAACCCCGGGUCUGCAUUCGAUACGGGCAGGCUAGAGUGUGGUAGGGGAGAUCGGAAUUCCUGGUGUAGCGGUGAAAUGCGCAGAUAUCAGGAGGAACACCGGUGGCGAAGGCGGAUCUCUGGGCCAUUACUGACGCUGAGGAGCGAAAGCGUGGGGAGCGAACAGG